rnacentral:rRNA from 1 species
UAGUGACGAAAAAUAACGAUACGGGACUCAUCCGAGGCCCCGUAAUCGGAAUGAGUACACUUUAAAACUUUUCCCGAAAAUCAAUUGGAGGGUAAGUCUGGUGCCAGCAGCCGCGGUAAUUCCAGCUCCAAUAGCGUAUAUUAAAGUUGUUGCGGUUAAAAAGCUCGUAGUCGAAUCUGUGUCCCGCGCCGCUGGUUCAUCGCUCGCGGUGUUCAACUGGCGUGUCUCGCGGGACGUCCUGCCGGUGGGCGCUCGUAUCGUUUCGGCGGUGCGUGGCCCAACUCGUAGCCGUCUCGCGCGGUUGCGAAUCCCAUCGCGGUGCUCUUUAUUGAGUGUCGAGGUGGGCCGGCACGUUUACUUUGAACAAAUUAGAGUGCUUAAAGCAGGCCAAAUUUGCCUGAAUAUUGUGUGCAUGGAAUAAUGGAAUAGGACCUCGGUUCUAUUUUGUUGGUUUUCUGAACCCCGAGGUAAUGAUUAAUAGGAACGGAUGGGGGCAUUCGUAUUGCGACGUUAGAGGUGAAAUUCUUGGAUCGUCGCAAGACGGACAGAAGCGAAAGCAUUUGCCAAAAACGUUUUCAUUGAUCAAGAACGAAAGUUAGAGGUUCGAAGGCGAUCAGAUACCGCCCUAGUUCUAACCAUAAACGAUGCCAGCUAGCGAUCCGCCGACGUUCCUCCGAUGACUCGGCGGGCAGCUUCCGGGAAACCAAAGCUUUUGGGUUCCGGGGGAAGUAUGGUUGCAAAGCUGAAACUUAAAGGAAUUGACGGAAGGGCACCACCAGGAGUGGAGCCUGCGGCUUAAUUUGACUCAACACGGGACACCUCACCAGGCCCGGACACCGGAAGGAUUGACAGAUUGAGAGCUCUUUCUUGAUUCGGUGG